AUUGAACGCUGGCGGCAUGCCUUACACAUGCAAGUCGAACGGUAACGCGGGGCAACCUGGCGACGAGUGGCGAACGGGUGAGUAAUGUAUCGGAACGUGCCCAGUUGUGGGGGAUAACUGCUCGAAAGAGCAGCUAAUACCGCGUACGACCAGAGGGUGAAAGCGGGGGAUCGCAAGACCUCGCGCAAUUGGAGCGGCCGAUAUAAGAUUAGGUAGUUGGUGGGGUAAAGGCUCACCAAGCCCACGAUCUGUAGCUGGUCUGAGAGGACGACCAGCCACACGGGGACUGAGACACGGCCCAGACUCCUACGGGAGGCAGCAGUGGGGAAUUUUGGACAAUGGACGCAAGUCUGAUCCAGCCAUGCCGCGUGCGGGAAGAAGGCCUUCGGGUUGUAAACCGCUUUUGUCAGGGAAGAAACGCUCUGGGUUAAUACCUCGGGGUAAUGACGGUACCUGAAGAAUAAGCACCGGCUAACUACGUGCCAGCCGCCGCGGUAAUAC
rnacentral:rRNA from 1 species